rnacentral:rRNA from 1 species
CCUACGGGAGGCAGCAGUGAGGAAUAUUGGUCAAUGGGCGCGAGCCUGAACCAGCCAAGUAGCGUGAAGGAUGACUGCCCUUCGGGUUGUAAACUUCUUUUAUAAAGGAAUAAAGUGAGGCACGUGUGCCUUUUUGUAUGUACUUUAUGAAUAAGGAUCGGCUAACUCCGUGCCAGCAGCCGCGGUAAUACGGGGGGUACGAGCGUUAUCCGGAUUUUUUGGGUUUAAAGGGAGCGUAGAGUGGUUGUUAAGUCAGUUGUGAAAGUUUGCGGCUCAACCGUAACAUUGCAGUUGAUACUGGCAGUCUUGAGUACAGUUGAGGUAGGCGGAAUUCGUGGUGUAGCGGUGAAAUGCUUAGAUAUCACGAAGAACUCCGAUUGCGAAGGCAGCUUACUAAACUGCCACUGACAUUGAUGCUCGAAAGUGUGGGUAUCAAACAGGAUUAGAUACCCGUGUAGUC